CUGGAUAAUAGCAGUUUGAUGUAACCACUGCUUUUUUAUUUUGAAUGACAGGCCAGUACUACAGGUCCUCCCACUCUGUCGCCGUGCCUCGUGAACUCAGUCAGAGCCAUUAAACUUUGAGAGACUGUGAAUCUGGACGGCCCACGCACAGGUUGUAGGUUUGGCAGUUUUGGCUGAUGAGGGUGAUGUUAAUUCAGUGGAAUCAGCAUCGCUGGGAUUAGUAGUCGAUAGCAGCAGAGUCAUGGAGGCGGUUGCAGGACAUUAUCCGUCACAUUACAGAGUAAGAUGUCACUUACCUCUCUGAAGUCAAGGCCCGCAGGACAGUUGAACUCUACCAGCUACAUGCACGUCUGUAUGCACGAGUGACUGAGGGAGGGAUGCAUGGCUAUGGUAAGACAGUCACAGAGAGAAAGAC